rnacentral:rRNA from 1 species
UACGUAGGGGGCGAGCGUUGUCCGGAUUUACUGGGCGUAAAGAGCGCGCAGGCGGUCGUUCAAGUCGCGUGUGAAAGCCCCCGGCUCAACUGGGGAGGGUCACGCGAUACUGAUCGACUGGAAGGCAGGAGAGGGUAGUGGAAUUCCCGGUGUAGUGGUGAAAUGCGUAGAGAUCGGGAGGAACAUCAGUUGCGAAGGCGGCUCUCUGGACCAGCACUGACACUGAGGCACGAAAGCGUGGGGAGCAAACAGG